rnacentral:tRNA from 1 species
CCUUGGUUAGCACAGUUGGUAGAGCACUUCACUGGAAAUGGAGAGGUCCUGGGUUCGAUACUCAGACCAUGUG